rnacentral:rRNA from 1 species
UACGUAGGCAGCAAGCGUUGUUCGGAAUUACUGGGCGUAAAGAGUGUGUAGGCGGUGCUCUAAGUCUGUUGUGAAAUCUCCCGGCUUAACCGGGAGGGUGCGGCGGAAACUGGAGUGCUUGAGGGUGGGAGAGGUAAGCGGAAUUCCUGGUGUAGCGGUGAAAUGCGUAGAUAUCGUAAGGAAGACCAGUGGCGAAGGCGGGUCUCUGGACAGUUCCUGACGCUGAGGCACGAAGGUCAGGGGAGCAAACGGG